rnacentral:rRNA from 1 species
GUCUAUGGCCAUACCACCCUGAACACACCUGAUCUUGUCUGAUCUUGGAAGCUAAGCAAGGGUCAGGCCUGGUUAGUACUUGGAAGGGAGGAAUAGGCUUUUAGGAU